rnacentral:rRNA from 1 species
GAUGAACGCUGGCGGCGUGCCUAAUACAUGCAAGUCGAGCGAACAGACGAGGAGCUUGCUCCUCUGACGUUAGCGGCGGACGGGUGAGUAACACGUGGAUAACCUACCUAUAAGACUGGGAUAACUUUGGGAAACCGGAGCUAAUACCGGAUAAUAUAUUGAACCGCAUGGUUCAAUAGUGAAAGACGGUUUUGCUAUCACUUAUAGAUGGAUCCGCGCCGCAUUAGCUAGUUGGUAAGGUAACGGCUUACCAAGGCGACGAUGCGUAGCCGACCUGAGAGGGUGAUCGGCCACACUGGAACUGAGACACGGUCCAGACUCCUACGGGAGGCAGCAGUAGGGAAUCUUCCGCAAUGGGCGAAAGCCUGACGGAGCAACGCCGCGUGAGUGAUGAAGGUCUUCGGAUCGUAAAACUCUGUUAUUAGGGAAGAACAAAUGUGUAAGUAACUAUGCACGUCUUGACGGUACCUAAUCAGAAAGCCACGGCUAACUACGUG